CGCGUAGGCGGCUCUAUAAGUCAGAUGUGAAAGCCCUGGGCUUAACCCAGGAAGUGCAUUUGAAACUAUAGGACUUGAGUAUGGGAGAGGGAAGUGGAAUUCCUGGUGUAGAGGUGAAAUUCGUAGAUAUCAGGAGGAACACCGGUGGCGAAGGCGACUUCCUGGACCAAUACUGACGCUGAGGCGCGAAGGCGUGGGGAGCAAACAGGAUUAGAUACCCUGGUAGUCC
rnacentral:rRNA from 1 species